UAAAGCAAAUAAGGGCGUAUGGUGGAUGCCUUGGCUCUGUGAGACGAAGAAGGACGUGGUAAGCUGCGAUAAGCUGCGGGGAGCUGCACACAAGCAUUAUAUCCGCAGAUUUCCGAAUGGGACAACCCGGCACACUGAAGGUGUGUCAUCCGAAAGGAAGUCAACCUCCUGAACUGAAACAUCUAAGUAGGGAGAGGAAAAGAAAAUAACAAUGAUUCCCUGAGUAGUGGCGAGCGAAAAGGGAAAAGCCUAAACUUCGGCGGCGUGCCGCCGGAGGGUUGUAGGACUGCAUUUAGAAAUUCUCAUCAAAUUGAAUCUUCUGGAAAGUUGAGCCAUAGCGGGUGAUAGCCCCGUAAAUACAAAUUGAGAAGGACGAGCAGUAUCCUGAGUACGGCGGGACCGGAGGAAUCCUGCCUGAAUCUGCCAGCACCAUCUGGUAAGGCUAAAUACUCCACAGAGACCGAUAGUGAACCAGUACCGUAAGGGAAAGGUGAAAAGCACCCUAAACAAGGGAGUGAAAUAGUACCUGAAACCGUACGCCUACAAGCGGUCGGAGUCCAGCAAUGGAUGACGGCGUGCCUUUUGCAUAAUGAGCCUACGAGUUGCUCCUCACUAGCGAGGUUAAGUUCUUAAGUAACGGAGCCGUAGCGAAAGCGAGUCCAAAUAGGGCGUUUAGUUAGUGGGGGCAGACGCGAAACUUUGUGAUCUAUCCAUGGGCAGGUUGAAGGUGUGGUAACACACACUGGAGGACCGAACUCAUUAACGUUGAAAAGUUAUGGGAUGACCUGUGGAUAGGGGUGAAAGGCCAAUCAAACUGAGAGAUAGCUCGUUCUCCCCGAAAUGUUUUUAGGAACAGCCUCGGAUAUAAGAAGUGUGUUAGAGGUAGAGCUACUGAUUGGGCUAGGGGGCUUCACCGCCUACCAAACCCUGACAAACUCCGAAUGCUAACACAUAUCUCCGGGAGUGAGGCUGCGGGCGCUAAGGUCCGUGGCCGAGAGGGAAAUAACCCAGAUUAGCAGCUAAGGUCCCUAAACGUAUGUUAAGUUGGUCAAACGAGGUGGGGCUUCUAUAACAGCCAGGAUGUUGGCUUGGAAGCAGCCAUUCAUUUAAAGAGUGCGUAACAGCUCACUGGUCGAGAGGCCCUGCACGGAAAAUGAUCGGGCAUCAAACAUACUACCGAAGCUCUAAGAUUGCCACUUACGUGGUAUAUCGGUAGGGGAGCAUUGAAACAGCAUUGAAGGUGUGCGGCGACGCAUGCUGGAGCGGUUUCAAAAGAAAAUGUAGGCAUAAGUAACGAUAAAUAGAGUGAAAAACUCUAUCGCCGUAAGUCCAAGGUUUCCUGAUCAAUGUUAAUCAGAUCAGGGUUAGUCGGGUCCUUAGGCAAACCCGAAAGGGGUAGCUGAUGGAAAACUGGUUAAUAUUCCAGUACCCGCUUUAGUUUCGAUGGGGUGACGGGGUAGUGAAAGACCCGCGGGGCAACGGAUGUUCCCGUUAAAGCGUGUAGAUAUAUCUUUUGCAGGUAAAUCCGCAAGGGAUGUCGAACGUGAUAGUACUGCAAAGCUUCGGCAGAGCAGAUAGUGGUCCUAAUCAAACCUCCGAGAAAAACCUCUAAGGUGUGGCUAAAGCGGCCCGUACCGUAAACCGACACAGGUGGACGGGAAGAAUAUUCUAAGGCGCUCGGGUGAGCCGUGGAGAAGGAACUAGGCAAAUUGACGCUGUAACUUCGGGAUAAAGCGUACCAUCUUCGGAUGGUCUCAGUAAAAUGGUUCAACCAACUGUUUAGCAAAAACACAGGGCCCUGCAAAAUCGAANNNNNNNNNNNNNNNNNNNNNNNNNNNNNNNNNNNNNNNNNNNNNNNNNNUAAGUUCCGACCUGCACGAAUGGUCUAAUGAGUUGAACACUGUCUCCUCCACGAGCCCGGUGAAAUUGUAGUAUCGGUGAAGAUGCCGGUUACCCGUCACGGGACGGAAAGACCCCGUGAACCUUCACUACAACUUUGCAUUGAUUUCGAGUCACAGAUGUGUAGUAUAGUUGGGACGCUAUGAAGCGGUGCCGCCAGGUGUCGUGGAGCGGUCGGUGAAAUACCAACCUUCUGUUACUUGGAACCUAACCCCUUGCGGGGGACAGUGCAUGGUGGGUAGUUUGACUGGGGUGGUCGCCUCCUAAAGAGUAACGGAGGCUCGCAAAGGUACCCUCAGUACGGUUGGUAAUCGUACGAAGAGCGUAUUAGUAUAAGGGUGCUUGACUGUGAGGCAUACAAGCCGAGCAGGUGCGAAAGCAGGCUAAAGUGAUCCGGCGGUUCUGCAUGGAAGGGCCGUCGCUCAAAGGAUAAAAGGUACUCCGGGGAUAACAGGCUGAUCUCCCCCAAGAGCUCAUAUCGACGGGGAGGUUUGGCACCUCGAUGUCGGUUCGUCACAUCCUGGGGCUGGAGAAGGUCCCAAGGGUUCGGCUGUUCGCCGAUUAAAGUGGCACGUGAACUGGGUUC
rnacentral:rRNA from 1 species